UUGUGUAUCGGGUUUAGUGUUUCUCUCAUUCUUCUUCACAUACUGUAGGGCUUCGCCGCCGUGAAGAUUGCUACAGAUUCCAUGCCUCUCAUCCAUUGUCGUGUAACGUCUCCGACUAUCAUUGAUUUCGUCAUAUUAAAGCAAGCAUUUACUUGAUUAACACCACUCUUUUGCUCUCUGCCAUUGAAUCACAUUCCCCUUUCUCUCCAAGGUAACAGACAAAAGCUCCACUUAUAAAUAAGGUUGUUCUCUGCGAUGAAAUGCAACACUUCAACCAAAUCGAAUAGCACAUUCUUGAUUUGAACACAUGGGCGUCUAUAUGUUACUAUUGGAUGAUAAGGACUACAGGAGUCACUCAUCCAAGCCUCUAACACACACAGUCCACGGGCUGAACACUUUCAGAGAAUUAGAGGAAGCACUUUCAGAGAACUAAGUGGAUUCAAUGUAUAAUGAUUUCCUUUUGGAUGAUAGGUGGAUUUGCUAUGAAAAAAAGAUGUUGGAAGACAGAAGGUUCCCCAAAUUGCAUCUCAACUUUCAGCUCAGGCAACUCUGAUUCAGGCCUCAAUUACCUUGGCUUGGACUGUUCAUGAUGUUAUCGCCUGAGUGCACAGACUCAAUAAAUUCCAAUACCUAAGGCCUGAACUGAACAUCCCUUCUUUGCUCUUGACUACUUGCCUUUUUGUUUAUGUCCAGAGAAGUGAUAACCACCCUGGUGAUGACAUGCCUGGAGCUGUAGCAGUGUCAACUAAGCCAUCUGAUAUGAUGCUCCAUCAUGCAUCUGAGAAAAAAAAGCUAUGAGUGAUAGUGGUUGGAUUGUUGAAGAUAGUGAUGCUGCUCCACCUCAACCAACUGAUGCUACUGUUUUGGUUGGUUCCUCGAAUCAGAAGGAUCCACCCACAGAGAAUGUGCCUGAAGGUAAGAAGCCACGCAUUGCAUAACUUUAGAGGUUAAGGAGGACCGAAGCUUAAAGUCGGUUACAUCGAGUCUGGUGUUGUUCGUUUCUUCAUUUCGUCCAUGCAUCCAGAUGAAUCAUCUGAAUGCAACUAUGUUCGUUUGC